AACCGCCGUAUACCGAACGGUACGUACGGUGGUGUGAGAGGACGGCCUCUCAAAUAAUGGGAGGCCUCCUACUCGAU
rnacentral:autocatalytically_spliced_intron from 1 species